rnacentral:rRNA from 1 species
GAAACUCGUAUUAAUACCGCAUACGACCUACGGGAGAAAGGGGGCAGUUUACUGCUCUCGCUAUUAGAUGAGCCUAAGUCGGAUUAGCUAGAUGGUGGGGUAAAGGCCUACCAUGGCGACGAUCUGUAGCUGGUCUGAGAGGAUGAUCAGCCACACCGGGACUGAGACACGGCCCGGACUCCUACGGGAGGCAGCAGUGGGGAAUAUUGGACAAUGGGGGAAACCCUGAUCCAGCCAUGCCGCGUGUGUGAAGAAGGCCUUUUGGUUGUAAAGCACUUUAAGCAGUGAAGAAGACUCCGUGGUUAAUACCCACGGACGAUGACAUUAGCUGCAGAAUAAGCACCGGCUAACUCUGUGCCAGCAGCCGCGGUAAUACAGAGGGUGCAAGCGUUAAUCGGAAUUACUGGGCGUAAAGGGAGCGUAGGUGGCUCUAUAAGUCAGAUGUGAAAUCCCCGGGCUCAACCUGGGAACUGCAUCUGAAACUGUAGAGCUAGAGUAUGUGAGAGGAAGGUAGAAUUCCAGGUGUAGCGGUGAAAUGCGUAGAGAUCUGGAGGAAUACCGAUGGCGAAGGCAGCCUUCUGGCAUAAUACUGACACUGAGGCUCGAAAGCGUGGGUAGCAAACAGGAUUAGAUACCCUGGUAGUCCACGCCGUAAACGAUGUCUACUAGUCGUUGGGUCCCUUGAGGACUUAGUGACGCAGCUAACGCAAUAAGUAGACCGCCUGGGGAGUACGGCCGCAAGGUUAAAACUCAAAUGAAUUGACGGGGGCCCGCACAAGCGGUGGAGCAUGUGGUUUAAUUCGAUGCAACGCGAAGAACCUUACCUGGUCUUGACAUAUCUAGAAUCCUGCAG